rnacentral:rRNA from 1 species
AUACGGAGGAUCCUAGUGUUAUCCGGAUUUAUUGGGUUUAAAGGGAGCGUAGGCGGGAGGUCAAGUCAGCUGUGAAAUGUAUCUGCUUAACGGGUACACUGCAGUUGAAACUGGUUUUCUUGAGUGCGUAAGAGGCAGGCGGAAUUCGUUGUGUAGCGGUGAAAUGCUUAGAUAUGACGAGGAACUCCUAUUGCGAAGGCAGCUUGCUGGGUCGUUACUGACGCUGAUGCUCGAAUGUGCGGGGAUCAAACAGGAUUAGAUACCCUGGUAGUCCGCACAGUAAACUAUGGAUACUCUCUGCCGGCGAUAUAUUGUCGGUGGCCAAGCGAAAGCGUUAAGUAUCCCACCUGGGGAGUACGUUCGCAAGAAUGAAACUCAAAUGAAUUGACGGGG